rnacentral:rRNA from 1 species
UGCGUAGGUGGUCGGGUAAGUCGGAUGUGAAAUCUCGGAGCUCAACUCCGAAACUGCAUUGGAAACUACCUGGCUCGAGGGUUGGAGGGGGGACUGGAAUUCUCGGUGUAGCAGUGAAAUGCGUAGAUAUCGAGAGGAACACCAGUGGCGAAGGCGAGUCCCUGGACAACUCCUGACACUGAGGCACGAAAGCUAGGGGAGCAAACA